rnacentral:rRNA from 1 species
UACGUAGGGUGCGAGCGUUAAUCGGAAUUACUGGGCGUAAAGCGUGCGCAGGCGGUUCGCCAAGUCAGGUGUGAAAUCCCCGGGCUUAACCUGGGAAUUGCGCUUGAAACUAGCGGGCUUGAGUGUGGCAGAGGGGGGUGGAAUUCCACGUGUAGCAGUGAAAUGCGUAGAUAUCCGGAGGAACACCGGUGGCGAAGGCGGCCUCCUGGACCGACACUGACGCUGAGGCGCGAAAGCUAGGGGAGCAAACGGG